ACGAUAAUAUAAAUGAAAUAACCAUUCGAACUUAAAUCGUCUGAGCAUAAAUUACAAUUAACCGUAGCAUGCGUGCGCAUCGCAUGAGCGCACGCACGUGCAACUUACGGUAUUAAAUUCAUUUCUGUAUUUUAUCGAAACGUGAAGAGUAAUGCGUUAGAACAGGAAUGCAGCUUAUUAUAAUAUAUAUUUGCAUGUGAAAGAAGAUUAUCAAUUUCUUAUUUGCUAUUUCUUAUCAAGUUAGCUUAUGUUUCGCUAUGAUUAUUCAGAAGAAUAAAAAGGAUGUGAAUUUAAUAUUGUAAUCCAUGUAUAUAAGUGAACGUUAUUUACCAUGUGUCAACUUUGUUCUUACCGAUGGAUUGGGUGUUGUAUAUCAACUUGUAGCAAUUACCGUCUGCCCGACGGUUAAUUAAGGAUUGGGGCAAUGAGGCCCAGCAAUGCAGUUUCCGUGAUAAUAAUUAUCUGCGAUAGUAAUUGAAUAGGUUGUUACGCCGUCGAGCAAAUCGAGACAUCAAAGAACCUAGAAUAAAAAAGAAUCAAGAAAUUUUUGAUAUUUUAUUUAUGAUUACUCGUCUAUUUUUUAUUUGUAUGUUUCUGAAACAUCGUAAGAUGAAUAAUUCUGGUAGCAAAGUUAGUAAGAAAGGAACGCUUGGUGAGGCGAGCGAGCCUGCAGGCAAAACGGCUGGACGAGAUCAUGUGGAUGUAUGUGAACGUGAACAAGUAAUACGUUCAUAGACGAAGAAAAGGUAAGGGUGGCACGCGCGGCCCGCUUCUAUCGCUUCCGGGCAUCAGCGUGCUCGCGAGCCGCAGCUAAUUGCUCUUUAAUGCAAGCGAGCGAACGAGCGCGUUGCUUUUCUUAGAUGCCGAGGGAAACUGACCGUCGUCGUCCUGUACUCCGUAAAAAAGAGAAUACACGAGAUUUAUGUCGGCCCCCGGACUUUUCGUCACGCUUUGUUUAGGAUACGGUUUUAGUUUUGAGAAAACUCUUGGGGCUUCUUCCUUCUUUUUAAUUGCAACGGGUCAGUUUCAGUUGUUUAUUCAGCUCUGGGCCACUGGCAGUACAUAUAACACUGCAACAAAAAUGAAGGGUAGAAAGCUCGAUUCGCCGAGGCAUGACCAACAGAGUACUGCAAAAGCUCAUACAUAUGUAGACGACUCGGACAUCAGGAACCAUGGGGAGGACCCUCCGGAAAAAUGAAUAUGCAGCCCCAUAAAAGUUUGUUCAUUCGUUCAUUCAUAAUGUCGCCAAGGACGAGACUUCUCUGGCUUGUAGAUUGUCAAGGUAGAAGGGACGAGUAGCAACCCUUCAUCGAAGGAGGUGGCGAAGGAAGAAAGAAGAAAGAGGUGAAGCUAGGAGGGGAAGGGAAAGGAAAGAACGAGGCUGAAUGCGGUGACUGUGACGCUUUCCGGUCAGGUGCCGCCCUGACGAUCCUUCUCCUACCAACUUCCACUUGGAUCCACUCAUUCACUUACUUUUACCCUCCUUCAUUUCUUCCUUCUACAACAUCCUACUCGAUGAAGAAAAAAAAAGAAAAGAAAAUAGAAUGCACACAGAAGAAAAUUAUAUUCCUUUUUAAGUCAAGAUCAUGAGAUUUGAAGAAAAGAAGAAAUGGAAUA